AGAGUUUGAUCAUGGCUCAGGAUGAACGCUAGCGGCAGGCCUAAUACAUGCAAGUCGAACGGGGCAGCAAUGCCUAGUGGCGCACGGGUGCGUAACGCGUAUGCAACCUACCUUUCAGUGGGGGAUAGCCCGGGGAAACCCGGAUUAAUACCGCAUAAGAUAAUUGAAUGGCAUCGUUUAAUUAUGAAACAUUUAUGGCUGAAAGAUGGGCAUGCGUAAGAUUAGCUAGUUGGUGAGGUAGUAGCUCACCAAGGCAAUGAUCUUUAGGGGUUCUGAGAGGAAGAUCCCCCACACUGGUACUGAGAUACGGACCAGACUCCUACGGGAGGCAGCAGUAGGGAAUAUUGGGCAAUGGAGGCAACUCUGACCCAGCCAUGCCGCGUGCAGGAAGAAGGCCUUCUGGGUUGUAAACUGCUUUUGGAAGGGAACAAAACGGGCAUGCGUGCCAACUUGAGUGUACCUUCAGAAUAAGCACCGGCUAACUCCGUGCCAGCAGCCGCGGUAAUACGGAGGGUGCAAGCGUUGUCCGGAUUUAUUGGGUUUAAAGGGUGCGUAGGCGGCUUAUUAAGUCAGGGGUGAAAGACUGCAGCUCAACUGUAGCAGUGCCUUUGAUACUGAUGAGCUUGAGUACAGAUGAGGCUGGCGGAAUGGGUGGUGUAGCGGUGAAAUGCAUAGAUACCAUCCAGAACACCGAUUGCGAGGGCAGCCGGCUAAACUGUAACUGACGCUGAGCACGAAAGCGUGGGGAUCGAACAGGAUUAGAUACCCUAGUAGUCC
rnacentral:rRNA from 1 species